ACAAACUUGGUCAUUUAGAGGAAGUAAAAGUCGUAACAAGGUUUCCGUAGGUGAACCUGCGGAAGGAUCAUUACCAAAACGGCCGCAAGGCCAGCUGAAGGGAGGUUUCGGCCCCUGACAGUGCACCCUUUGUGAAAAACUUUGUUGCUUGCGGCAUCCCACGGGGGCGACCCCGGGGUGUCAGUCCGCGACAGAAACUCUUGAAAUCUAGUACUGUCAGAAACUUAGCGAAUGCUAUAAAACUUUCAACAACGGAUCUCUUGGUUCCCGCAUCGAUGAAGAACGCAGC
rnacentral:misc_RNA from 1 species